rnacentral:misc_RNA from 1 species
GAUGAAGAACGCAGCGAAAUGCGAUACGUAAUGUGAAUUGCAAAUUCAGUGAAUCAUCGAGUCUUUGAACGCACAUUGCGCCCCCUGGUAUUCCGGGGGGCAUGCCUGUCCGAGCGUCAUUGCUGCCCUCAAGCACGGCUUGUGUGUUGGGCCCCGUCCUCCGAUCCCGGAGGACGGGCCCGAAAGGCAGCGGCGGCACCGCGUCCGGUCCUCGAGCGUAUGGGGCUUUGUCACCCGCUCUGUAGGCCCGGCCGGCGCUUGCCGAUCAACCCAAAUUUUUAUCCAGGUUGACCUCGGAUCAGGUAGGGAUACCCGCUGAACUUAAGCAUAUCAAUAAGCGGAAGGA